GACGAACGCUGGCGGCGUGCUUAACACAUGCAAGUCGAACGGAAAGGUCAUGCCGUUGUUGGGUACACGAGUGGCGAACAGGUGAGUAACACGGGAGUAACCGUCCCUAGCCUUUGGGAUAACGUCGGGAAACUGGGGCUAAUACCGGAUAGUAGCGCCUGCUGUUUGGUGGUGCAUGGAAAGUUUCGGCGGGUGGGGAUGGACCCGCGGCUUCUCGGCUUGUUGGUGGGGUAGUGGGUUGGCAAGGCUUUGGCGGUUAGCCGGCCUGAGAGGGUGACCGGCCACAUUGGGCCUGGGAUACGGCCCAGAGUCCUACGGGAGGCAGCAGUGGGGAACAUUGCACACUGGGCGGAAGCCUGAUGCAGCAACGCCGCGUCCGGGAUGACGGCCUUCGGGUUGUAAACCGCUUUCGCCUGUGACGAAGCGUGAGUGACGGUAAUGGGUAAAGAAGCACCGGCUAACUACGUG
rnacentral:rRNA from 1 species